rnacentral:rRNA from 1 species
GAUGAACGCUAGCUACAGGCUUAACACAUGCAAGUCGAGGGGAAACGACAUCGAAAGCUUGCUUUUGAUGGGCGUCGACCGGCGCACGGGUGAGUAACGCGUAUCCAACCUGCCCACCACUUGGGGAUAACCUUGCGAAAGUAAGACUAAUACUCAAUGACGUCUCUAGAAGACAUCUGAAAGAGAUUAAAGAUUUAUCGGUGAUGGAUGGGGAUGCGUCUGAUUAGCUUGUUGGCGGGGUAACGGCCCACCAAGGCGACGAUCAGUAGGGGUUCUGAGAGGAAGGUCCCCCACAUUGGGACUGAGACACGGUCCAGACACCUACGGGAGGCAGCAGUGAGGAAUAUUGGUCAAUGGACGAGAGUCUGAACCAGCCAAGUAGCGUGCAGGAUGACGGCCCUAUGGGUUGUAAACUGCUUUUAUAAGGGAAUAAAGUGAGUCUCGUGAGACUUUUUGCAUGUACCUUAUGAAUAAGGACCGGCUAAUUCCGUG